rnacentral:lncRNA from 1 species
CAUAAUCUCAGAGAAAGCUCAGAAGCCCAUAAAGCUCCUUUAGGAGAACCAUGUCAGAGAUGAUGCUUCUCCUGCCCCUUGGUGCUCAGCAACCCUCAGUGGAGAGGGGUCAAAGACUGUCUCCCAGCCUGGGUCCAGAGCACAGGUAAUUAAUAGAUGAUCAUGGCGAUGGACAAAUGCAGACUGACAGCAGGCUUACCUUCCUUAUAACCUAUUCCUUGGCUAACAUUAGUUCUACAGCAAAACCCGAGCUUUGUUGACAUGUCGUUUCUUUUCAUUAAUAAAUAACUGCCUGAAACAAUUACACUUUAGGAAACUAAUCUUAUUUUUCUCUUUCCCUCUAAAAGGUACCAAAAAUUAAAAGCAAAGAUGCUUAAAUCAACUGCAGUCCUUCUGGGCAGAUGUUCCUAAAUGCAAUCCAUCUAAGAGGAAAGAGUUUUUGAGGGAAGGGUGAUCACUGGGCCUCUACAUGCCACACCCGGAAGGCCCAGCAGUGGGGCAAGGAUAGAACACACAGUUUGGCGAUGUGACCCUGCCUGUCUGCACACCUCAGGAUCCCACCACCCAACAGGCAUACAUCUCCUGGAGCUACAGAGAUGCCAAAUGCCAGAGAAGGGAAGCAGGAAGGGAGAUGAAGACAAGGAACUCUGAAAAAUGGAAGCAGAAACACAGGCUGUAUUUUCCCCUAUCCUUCUUUUCUUUGUUCCCUUUUUUCUCUUUUGAAUGAAAAAUAAAAAUGCAGAAAACCUCAGGA